AUUAUAUUUUUAAAAUUAAAGCAUUUCAAAUUUUAGCUAAAUUCAAACGCACUGUGUGUAACGUCACAUCAAGCCAAGUCAGGAAGUUUCAGUUGACAGGCAACUGACAAUUGCUCAUCAAAACAUCAAAGUUAAUUUUGGCCGUGAAAUGUCAAAAAGACGGCUAAAGUAUAUUGUUUCGUGCCUGAAUGCACAAAUAAUUCCACAAAAAACCCCUAAAAACUUUUUUAGCCGUCUCGAAAGGAAAUAUUUGUAAGAAAUACGUCAUUUUCCGACCAAAUUCCGUAUCUUUCCAGUCAGGUUUAUAUUGUUAUGAAGAAACGUCUUGAAAAUUGCAUGCAGCUCUCAUUAGAUCCCGCUUCCAAAGGCUCCGAGCGUAUCAACAUCCUCCGCUUUCUACAUUGCCUUCCGGAAAUCAUUUUUUAGAAAUAUGUCAUAUACAUCAUGACCUGGAGUUCAACCAAAUGCUACAGAUGUUCAACCAUGCAUACGGAAUUGACGUGCGAUAUUAUACAACAACCACUCUCGUGUCGAGAAGGAAGUGUAUUCGGGGUUGUUGCCCUGUUGGAAGAUAGGUUGCAGUUUGCCUAAAGUUUCGUUUUAUAACGAAGUAAAACGUAGCACUUUAGAGUAUACUUGUUUUUCAUGUUCUAGUCAAUAAAUACCAAUCUAUUCACUCUGA